GAAAACUCAAACUAUGUUUGUCUUGGCUUUUGCUCCCUCUCGUUUUCAGAAGACUUAUUUUCUAAGUCUAAACUUUGGAAUUCUGAUCUAAAGCUUGUUUUUCUCUUGGGAUCCAAGUGAGCUUUUGAUUGUUUUUUUUGUUUAUUUUUUUGAUUGGUUGAUGAAUUGAGUGUCCUUUGUUUCUUUGCCUACUUUCGUUUUUAUAAGAGAUCCUCCUAAGGAGGUAAUUUUUAAUCCUAAAUAAUGGGCGGCAAAAAGAUCUCUUAUAAUGUAAAGUAAGAAGGGUUUCUUAUCAAUCAAGGCAGAUAGGUUCUGAGCAGUCACCUCCUAAAGCAGUCCCUUCCCUGGUUUCCUGGGUGGCAGCUUUCUAAUUCAACUAACGCCACCUUCUGUGUGGGCUUUUUUAUGGCGGUUUGGCUCUUUUUCUUUUGUAUUUUCUGAAUGGUUCCCUGUUUCCCGCUCUAAUUUAGAAAGCGUGAUCCGUGAAUUCCUUGGGAGAUGGUGUAUUGAUUUGGA
rnacentral:lncRNA from 1 species